CUGUAGUCAAAGCUCUGCGGCGAAGAAGGAUGCAGCUUGCCGGCUACUUUUGUGCUACUACUGAGGAAGUUGCUGGACAGGCCCUUUCUCCAGUCCUGAUGUUUCAUUUCUUCUCAUGACUCAACAAGUGGGAGUGACGUGUACCCUGGAUGCAGCUGGCUGCCGUUUUGUCGUGAAUGGAAGGAUCCUUACAUCUUAUCACAUUGUCCGAAUGUGACGUGUCAGGAUCACCUUGGGGAAAUUUGUUAAAAUAAGGCACAUGUGAUGUCUUGGAUUCAGACGGGAACUGAUUGGAUUUUGGUGGUAAUCACAGUGACUUCAAAACAUGUUUGUGUCUUGCCAUAACCCAACAAAUUCAUGCUGUAAUUGUGUAAAAAUGUCACUUGAAAUUGUCUAACAGGAUAAAAUGAUGAAGUGAUAACUGUAUAUCCUGAAGGUCGAUGGUCAACUACGGCGUGACGUGAUGCUCCACAAAAACACUUAAUAAACUCCAUCAUAAUAUUAAAUUCAGGUUGGUGGAGGCAUACAACCAUGAGGUGGUAAUUCUGGCUUUUUAUUGAUUCUUUUAUAAAAACCAAAUGAAGAUUAAAAAAAAAUUUCACACAUGGAAUAGCUCAUAACUUUUCAAACAUGUGACUCCUGUUUUUCAUGGUCCUGUGACAGCUCAAAGAUUGUGAUCCAUACUGGUCUGACCCCACAAUGACUCCCCACAACCCCCUAAUUAUAAAUUCUAAUUUUACACUCAGAGGCGUGGUUCUUUCAGACUGUGUGCUACAAAUUAGAGGAUAUCUCUCUGUCAAAGGGCCUGAUGACUUCGUCACUGUGUCUCUCUUUGAAGGGUAGAUUUUGUACUUUUUUACAUGAAACAUCUUUCUGUUUUAGUUUGGAAAAACAAGUUUACAGGUUGAUACGAGUUAACUAAGUAACAACAUUAACAUUCACACAUGACAGGAAAAAACAAAAAAACACAUAAAUGUAAAUUUAGUCAAUAUAUUUUUAGACCAAGAAGAAGACAGGACUAGUUAAAAAAGCAUGUACUUCACCUAGCAUGUGAACAUUGAUCAAAGCGUCUCAAGUGACUGUCAUGUUCUGCUAAAUGAAAUUUAACUUAGUGCUUUACUCUUUCUUGGGAUGUGCUUUCGCAAUGCCUCAAUGAAAUUAACUCUAAUGAGCAUCAUGACCCUCAGCACUAGACUAAUGAGACAGUUAAGCUGUUAAAUGUCUCACUUUUAUGCACAGCUUGUCAAACUAUGUGUCUGUUUUCUCACAUACGUGAUGACAGCUGGAAUAGCAUGGUGCUACAGUAUAAAAAAUAUCCUCAUAUGCAGGAGUAUGAAGCACACAUCUCACACAAUCAGCAAUCUAUUGAAAAGCCAUCAACCAUUUGGAGCUUUUGAUAACAUCAGCGGUUAUAGCUUUAUGUUUUACGGAGCCUUUCAAGUUUACUGAGCAACAUCUGAAAACCUGUCCACUCCUCCGUUCUUUGCUGCUGGGUAUAAAACCAGCCAUGCCACGAAAAAAAAAAAACUCAAGCAGAGAGAAUGAGUGCAGUAAUUUUAGACAAUCUAGCUUUACAAGACUUUGUGGUUAAGGGAUUAUAGGGAGAAUCCCACCCAGGAGUGCACCUACACUGCACUGUAGAUGAAGCAUCAAGAAGAAAACGAAAAAUUCAGCAUUCAGUGUGCUACUUAGGUAAAAGUACACAAUUAAAUAUCAAGUACAAGAACUUAGUCUGCAAAAGAAUGCCAACAUUAGGUGUUACUUUAGUAAAGAUUAUGUUAUUAGGUUGAUGAGUAAUAUGUAAGAACUAUUUUACAGGUGGAGCUGUACAGUAAACUUGUAGGGCCAGGAACUAAAAGGUUCCCCACACUGGUAGUUGUUUAGAUUUCCACUGUGAGGUAGAGCUGCAAAGAUUAUGCAAAGUAGUCUGUCGAUAGUGUUAGAUGAUGCAAAAGACUGUACAAUAACCAUAAAGCAAAAACACGGCACCAAUAGUAAACAUGGAGGACAUACGAUCCACUGUGUGUGGGUUCACUGCUUUACAUAUAAUGUUUACUUGGCCAACGCUGCAAAAGCAAAAGCAGCACAGCAGAUUCAAAAUGGAUGAAAUGUUAGCCUUAACAUAGCAAAUGAAUUUUGUGAGCUAUUAUGGAGACUGACUGAAAUGAGCCCACGUCAACGGACACAAAACGCUCAAGGUGUUCAGCCAAUGCAGCCCGUAACCCCAAAGUUCUUGUAACUGGAAAAAUAUAAAUAAAAUUAAAUACGAAUCUUCAAAAAUGAGACUUUUUCAUGUUAAAAUGAUUUUCCCCCAAACGUUAUCCACUGCACUCUGGAUCUUGGAAAUGUGCUAUGUAAGGAAAAACACUCUAAGUGGAACUGCUAACACUCACACAUCAGAAAGGUAACAGAGGUUUCCAACUAGACUGGUGAGGUCAAAAAUGAUGGGAAGUCUUAAGUAUUUCACAUUUUACAAGCUCUUACCGUGUGUUUGAAUACAUUCUUAAUCUAGAAUGUCAUUAGUAACUGUAGCUGUCAAAUAAACAUAUGAGGGUGAAAAGAGGGGGCUCAAGUAUGCAAUUUACGUCAUUUGUUUUACAGGCUGACAUCUGUAUCUUUCUGAAUCUUUCCUCACUGCAUGAAUUUAAGGAGAUGCAACUAAACAACACAAGAGGAACUCCUGGCUCAGGAAUUUUUCAACAGGGCUGGUCAGACGACUCGCUGUCGAUGAGGACCAACCAUGGUCAAGGGAGACAUACCAAAGUCCUGAGAUCAGACCAAGUGCAGCAGUCUUACAAUAUGUCAGCAGUGUUAUUUUUAUAGGGUCAUAUUUGAAAACCGAAUGGCUCUGCAUCUGCCCAACAAGGGCAUUCCUCCAUUACUGACCCUGGACAAACCCACAAGCUCUUGUGCUCCUGUUUUUGCAUCGGCUUGUUACAAGCCUCUGAUUUCCAAAGUAGUAUUUACCCCCGCUGUGGCUCUCUAGGCGUUUCACUUGUAAUGAUAAAUACUCACAUGAAUUAAACAGCACGGAGCCCAGUAAGUCAGAACGCAGACGUUUAACCUGGCUGCCGACUGUGUUUGCCCAGUUAAACACAUGUUAGUGGGUGAGUGCAUCAGUCAGGCCUUGGGGUGAAACCUUCACAGGAAUCGGGGGUCGUUAGCCAUCAGACUGAUAAACAAGCCUGUGACAUAAUGUGGAAACACUGAUGCCAUUCAUAGGUCUCAUCACUGGCAAAACAUUCAGCAUGCCGGGCAAAUGUCACACAUAUAAAACAAAUUCCUUGUGGUCAGUGGGGGGAUAGGGAGCUUUCUUGGGGGAAAAAUGGCUGUUUAGUGGAAUAUCACUCUCUGUCUUACUGGCUUCUUCUUACAUCCACAAGGAGUUGGGAGUCUGGGUGAGAUUAGACUACUGGUGCCAUUGUGGCUUUGUCUUUGUCUCAUCCUACAAUAUCAUGUCAGGAAGUGGAUAGUCUUCUCUCCCAGAGAAGAGAAGGGACCCCCUCAUCUUGUAAAGUCGAGUUCUUGGAGCGCUGUUUUUCUGUAAAAUGAUGAGGAAAAAAUUGCACAGAACCUCAACAAGUCUACAGUACGUUUAAUUUGUCUGAAGGUGGGUGCUGGAUAAAUCCAGAUUUUCUUUAAUAGUUGGACAUUGUUAUAUGAGAGCGUAGGUCUUUUAAAAGAACUAUUUGUAGGUAAUAUCUCAACUCUAUUGGCCUGGCCAUAAAUUAAACCAGCGGUUUGAAAUCCCAGCACAAACAUGCAAUAAACGUUAUUAUUGGAAAAACACAAACUUGUUAGCAAUUAGCGUUAAUGCUGAACUCUGGCAGAUACUGUCCCUAUUAUAAUGACCAAAGCAAUUUGAUUUAUGAACUGUACAGCCAAAACAUAUUAAGCCAGGUCAGUUACUUUAUGUGGACUCUCCCUUGUUUUGAUCCUUUUCAUGUCUAGCCUAGCUUGUAGACAACCUGAGAAUAGCAAAUACUUAGUACAAUGGCCUUGUAGUUGGAUAAAUGAAUCUUAUUUCCGAGGCCUAUAAAGCAACUUUUGUAGAGCUCCAUAUUUAGAGUGAAAUUAAACAUUACAGGACUUAAAAAAAAAAAUUCUAAAUGACUUAAUAAUAUAACAGAGGUUGAAAAAGUACUGAGAUUGUUCAUAAUAUAAUAAUAAAAAAAUAUAUACUUGCUUACAUGUGAGUUUUCUGCAUUGUUAUUUCAUUGUUUCUCCAUCGCUACUGUUAUUAUUAUUAUCAUUAUUAUUAUUAUUAUCAUUAUUUUGACUCCACAGUAAAGAUCACACACA